rnacentral:rRNA from 1 species
CCUACGGGGUGCUGCAGUGAGGAAUAUUGGGCAAUGGACGGAAGUCUGAACCAGCCAUGCCGCGUGCAGGAAGACGGCUCUCUGAGUUGUAAACUGCUUUUGUACAAGGGUAAACCUGAAUACGUGUAUACCGGUGAAAUUACUGUACGAAUAAGGAACGGACAACUCCGCGCCAGCAGCCGCGGUAAUACGGAGGAUCCAAGCGUUAUCCGGAUUUGUUGGGUUUAAAGGGUGCGUAGGCGGAUUGAUAAGUUAGAGGUGAAAUGUCCGGGCUUAACUCGGGAACUGCCUCUAAUACUGUUGAUCUAGAGAGUAGAUGCGGUAGGCGGAAUGCAUGGUGUAGCGGUGAAAUGCUUAGAGAUCAUACAGAACACCGAUUGCGAAGGCAGCUUACCAAGAUAUAUCUGACGUUGAGGCACGAAAGCGUGGGGAGCAAACAGGAUUAGAUACCCGGGUAGUC